rnacentral:rRNA from 1 species
AUUGAACGCUGGCGGCGUGCUUAACACAUGCAAGUCGAACGGAGUGGGAACGGGUGAGUAACACGUGGGUGACCUCCCUGCACUUCGGGGUAAGCCUGGGAAACUGGGUCUACACCGGAGAGAUGGGCCCGGGGCCUAUCGGCUUGUUGGUGGGGUAAUGGCCUACCAAGGCGGCGACGGGUAGCCGGCCUGAGAGGGUGGACAGCCACAUUGGAACUGAGACACGGCCCAGACUCCUACGGGAGGCAGCAGUGGGGAAUCUUGCGCAAUGGGCGCAAGCCUGACGGAGCAACGCCGCGUGAGUGAUGAAGGUCUUCGGAUCGUAAAGUUCUGUUGUUAGAGAAGCGGUAUCUAACCAGAAAGCAACGGCUAACUACGUGCCAGCAGCCGCGGUAAUUC